rnacentral:rRNA from 1 species
UUAGGAAUCUUGCGCAAUGGGCGAAAGCCUGACGCAGCCAUGCCGCGUGAAUGAUGAAGGUCUUAGGAUUGUAAAAUUCUUUCAGCGGGGAAGAUAAUGACGGUACCCGCAGAAGAAGCUCCGGCUAACUUCGUGCCAGCAGCCGCGGUAAUACGAAGGGGGCUAGCGUUGCUCGGAAUUACUGGGCGUAAAGGGCGCGUAGGCGGACGACUAAGUCGGGGGUGAAAGCCCGGGGCUCAACCUCGGAACUGCCUUCGAUACUGGUCAUCUUGAGUACGGGAGAGGUGUGUGGAACUCCGAGUGUAGAGGUGAAAUUCGUAGAUAUUCGGAAGAACACCAGUGGCGAAGGCGACACACUGGCCCGUUACUGACGCUGAGGCGCGAAAGCGUGGGGAGCAAACAGGAUUAGAUACCCCUGUAGUCC